rnacentral:misc_RNA from 1 species
CUGAUUUUCAAUUCUUGAAGAGAAACACUACAGGAAAAGUUCAUUAUUUUGAAACCAAACAUCUCAUGGAGAAUUGUAGCAUCACAAGAAUGGAGGGAAUAUCACAAUCUUUUCUAGAAAGGAAAGAGAACAAAAGUCCAGCCGUAGUCAAAUCAAAUCAAUUCUGCAACUUUCAAAGGACAGUUUACUGCUUUAAUUAUAUUAGCUGCUAAAACGUAUUCACCGUUCAAUACAAGCAGGCAAAAGUAGGAAAAAUAUCAGUUUUAUCCAUCGUUGAUCUAAGCCAUCGAAGCCAACCAGUAAAGGGAGACUUUGGAAAUACACAGCAACCUAUAAAGAUAUGAAACAGAUAUAGGACAAAUAUGAGAUCAAAUCAGCAAAUCAAAUAAUAUAAUCUGACCACUCUGAGAUAAAAGAAGUAUGAUCCAUAGAUUCUCCGGGACAUUCCUCAUGCUUCGCUGGUGUUCCUUUUCCUCCCACCAACCUUGCAGGAUUUCCUACUGCUGUGGUCCGAGGGGGCACAUCAAUAAGUACUACAGAGCCUGCUCCAAUCUUUGCACCAGCCCCAAUCUUCACAUUUCCUAGAAUUGUUGCGCCAGCACCGAUCAAUACUCCAUCUCCAAUCUUGGGAUGUCGAUCCCCACAUGCCUUCCCUGUUCCUCCAAGUGUAACAUGGUGCAAAAUGGAAACAUUGUUCCCAACCACUGCCGUCUCACCAAUCACUACACCAGUUGCGUGAUCGAACAAUAUCCCCUUCCCAAUCUUUGCCGCUGGAUGUAUAUCAACAGCAAAAACAUCAGAGACUCGAGAGUGUAAAGCUAGUGCCAGUGGCCUACGGGACUGAGUCCACAACUUGUGAGAAACUCUAUGAGCCUGGCAAGCCAAGAACCCUUUGUAAUUGAGAAGACAAUGCGAGAAUGAUAUGCAAGCAGGAUCACGGACGCGGUAGGCGCGAAGAUCAGCGACGGCAGCGGCGAUGAGAGAAGGGUCGGAGGAGAAAGUGUCGAGGAAGAGAUCGUAAAGGAGGGUGGAAAGAAGGGUUGAGGAACAAAGCUUGUUGCCUAAAUGGAAGGAAAGAGAUCGCUCCAGCGAGGAGUGAGAGAGGAUAGUGGAGUAGAGGUAGCUAGCCAACGCCGGCUCUGACUCCGCGUCGCGGCGGGCCUCGGAUUUGAUCUGGGUCCACACCCAGGCCUCAUCGUUGUCGGUGAUGCAGGAAUCAUUCACCGUUGUUCGUGGCGGGGAUGGGCAGCGUAGCUCGCCGGCAGGCAUCGGUUUCUUCAGCUGGUGAAUAGAGUAAGAGAUUGGCACAGGCGAACGAAAGAACCGAC